rnacentral:rRNA from 1 species
AGAGUUUGAUCCUGGCUCAGGAUGAACGCUGGCGGCGUGCCUAAUACAUGCAAGUCGAACGCUUUGUCUUUAAUUGAUCUGACGAGCUUGCUCUGAUGUGAUUUUAUCUGACAAAGAGUGGCGCACGGGUGAGUCACACGUGGGUAACCUACCUCUUAGCAGGGGAUUACAUUUGGAAACAAGUGCUAAUACCGUAUAAUACCAACAACCGCAUGGUUGUUGGUUGAAAGAUGGUUCUGCUAUCACUAAGAGAUGGACCCGCGGUGCAUUAGCUAGUUGGUAAGGUAACGGCUUACCAAGGCGAUGAUGCAUAGCCGAGUUGAGAGACUGAUCGGCCACAAUGGGACUGAGACACGGCCCAUACUCCUACGGGAGGCAGCAGUAGGGAAUCUUCCACAAUGGGCGCAAGCCUGAUGGAGCAACGCCGCGUGUGUGAUGAAGGGUUUCGGCUCGUAAAACACUGUUAUAAGAGAAGAACGGCACUGAGAGUAACUGUUCAGUGUGUGACGGUAUCUUACCAGAAAGGAACGGCUAAAUACGUGCCAGCAGCCGCGGUAAUACGUAUGUUCCAAGCGUUAUCCGGAUUUAUUGGGCGUAAAGCGAGCGCAGACGGUUAUUUAAGUCUGAAGUGAAAGCCCUCAGCUCAACUGAGGAAUGGCUUUGGAAACUGGAUGACUUGAGUGCAGUAGAGGAAAGUGGAACUCCAUGUGUAGCGGUGAAAUGCGUAGAUAUAUGGAAGAACACCAGUGGCGAAGGCGGCUUUCUGGACUGUAACUGACGUUGAGGCUCGAAAGUGUGGGUAGCAAACAGGAUUAGAUACCCUGGUAGUCCACACCGUAAACGAUGAGUGCUAGAUGUUCGAGGGUUUCCGCCCUUGAGUGUCGCAGCU